ACGGAAGGCAGCAGUGAGGAAUAUUGGACAAUGGAGGCAACUCUGAUCCAGCCAUGCCGCGUGAAGGACUAAGGCCCUACGGGUCGUAAACUUCUUUUGACGCAGGGCAAUAAGGCGUACGUGUACGCCGAUGAGAGUAUGCGUCGAAUAAGCAUCGGCUAACUCCGUGCCAGCAGCCGCGGUAAUACGGAGGAUGCAAGCGUUAUCCGGAUUUAUUGGGUUUAAAGGGAGCGUAGGCCGUGCUUUAAGCGUGUUGUGAAAUGUAGGCGCCCAACGUCUGCACUGCAGCGCGAACUGGAGCACUUGAGUACGCAGGAAGUAGGCGGAAUUCGUCGUGUAGCGGUGAAAUGCUUAGAUAUGACGAAGAACUCCGAUUGGGAAGCCAGCUUACUGUAGCGCCACUGACGCUGAUGCUCGAAAGCGUGGGUAUCGAACAGGAUUAGAUACCCUGGUA
rnacentral:rRNA from 1 species